UAACCGGGCGUUAAGUUGCAGGGUAUAGACCCGAAACCCGGUGAUCUAGCCAUGGGCAGGUUGAAGGUUGGGUAACACUAACUGGAGGACCGAACCGACUAAUGUUGAAAAAUUAGCGGAUGACCUGUGGCUGGGGGUGAAAGGCCAAUCAAACCGGGAGAUAGCUGGUUCUCCCCGAAAGCUAUUUAGGUAGCGCCUCGUGAAUUCAUCUCCGGGGGUAGAGCACUGUUUCGGCUAGGGGGCCAUCCCGGCUUACCAACCCGAUGCAAACUGCGAAUACCGGAGAAUGUUAUCACGGGAGACACACGGCGGGUGCUAACGUCCGUCGUGAAGAGGGAAACAACCCAGACCGCCAGCUAAGGUCCCAAAGUCAUGGUUAAGUGGGAAACGAUGUGGGAAGGCCCAGACAGCCAGGAUGUUGGCUUAGAAGCAGCCAUCAUUUAAAGAAAGCGUAAUAGCUCACUGGUCGAGUCGGCCUGCGCGGAAGAUGUAACGGGGCUAAACCAUGCACCGAAGCUGCGGCAGCGACGCUGAUGCGUUGUUGGGUAGGGGAGCGUUCUGUAAGCCUGCGAAGGUGUGUCGUGAGGCAUGCUGGAGGUAUCAGAAGUGCGAAUGCUGACAUAAGUAACGAUAAAGCGGGUGAAAAGCCCGCUCGCCGGAAGACCAAGGGUUCCUGUCCAACGUUAAUCGGGGCAGGGUGAGUCGACCCCUAAGGCGAGGCCGAAAGGCGUAGUCGAUGGGAAACGGGUUAAUAUUCCCGUACUUGGUGUUACUGCGAAGGGGGGACGGAGAAGGCUAUGUUGGCCGGGCGACGGUUGUCCCGGUUUAAGCGUGUAGGUGUGUGUUCCAGGUAAAUCCGGUUCACUUUAACACUGAGGCGUGAUGACGAGGCACUACGGUGCUGAAGCAACAAAUGCCCUGCUUCCAGGAAAAGCCUCUAAGCAUCAGGUAACAUCAAAUCGUACCCCAAACCGACACAGGUGGUCAGGUAGAGAAUACCAAGGCGCUUGAGAGAACUCGGGUGAAGGAACUAGGCAAAAUGGUGCCGUAACUUCGGGAGAAGGCACGCUGACACGUAGGUGAAGUGAUUUACUCAUGGAGCUGAAGUCAGUCGAAGAUACCAGCUGGCUGCAACUGUUUAUUAAAAACACAGCACUGUGCAAACACGAAAGUGGACGUAUACGGUGUGACGCCUGCCCGGUGCCGGAAGGUUAAUUGAUGGGGUCAGCGCAAGCGAAGCUCCUGAUCGAAGCCCCGGUAAACGGCGGCCGUAACUAUAACGGUCCUAAGGUAGCGAAAUUCCUUGUCGGGUAAGUUCCGACCUGCACGAAUGGCGUAAUGAUGGCCAGGCUGUCUCCACCCGAGACUCAGUGAAAUUGAACUCGCUGUGAAGAUGCAGUGUACCCGCGGCAAGACGGAAAGACCCCGUGAACCUUUACUAUAGCUUGACACUGAACAUUGAGCCUUGAUGUGUAGGAUAGGUGGGAGGCUUUGAAGUGUGGACGCCAGUCUGCAUGGAGCCGGCCUUGAAAUACCACCCUUUAAUGUUUGAUGUUCUAACGUGGACCCGUGAUCCGGGUUGCGGACAGUGUCUGGUGGGUAGUUUGACUGGGGCGGUCUCCUCCUAAAGAGUAACGGAGGAGCACGAAGGUUGGCUAAUCCUGGUCGGACAUCAGGAGGUUAGUGCAAUGGCAUAAGCCAGCUUGACUGCGAGCGUGACGGCGCGAGCAGGUGCGAAAGCAGGUCAUAGUGAUCCGGUGGUUCUGAAUGGAAGGGCCAUCGCUCAACGGAUAAAAGGUACUCCGGGGAUAACAGGCUGAUACCGCCCAAGAGUUCAUAUCGACGGCGGUGUUUGGCACCUCGAUGUCGGCUCAUCACAUCCUGGGGCUGAAGUAGGUCCCAAGGGUAUGGCUGUUCGCCAUUUAAAGUGGUACGCGAGCUGGGUUUAGAACGUCGUGAGACAGUUCGGUCCCUAUCUGCCGUGGGCGCUGGAGAACUGAGGGGGGCUGCUCCUAGUACGAGAGGACCGGAGUGGACGCAUCACUGGUGUUCGGGUUGUCAUGCCAAUGGCACUGCCCGGUAGCUAAAUGCGGAAGAGAUAAGUGCUGAAAGCAUCUAAGCACGAAACUUGCCCCGAGAUGAGUUCUCCCUGAGACUUAGAGUCUCCUGAAGGAACGUUGAAGACGACGACGUUGAUAGGCCGGGUGUGUAAGCGCAGCGAUGCGUUGAGCUAACCGGUACUAAUGAACCGUGAGGCUUAACCUUACAACGCCGAAG
rnacentral:rRNA from 1 species